UUGGAGGGCAAGUCUGGUGCCAGCAGCCGCGGUAAUUCCAGCUCCAAUAGCGUAUAUUAAAGUUGUUGCAGUUAAAAAGCUCGUAGUUGAAUUUCGGGGUUAGUAGGUUGGUCAUGCCUCUGGUAUGUACUGGUCUCACUGAUUCCUCCUUCCUGAUGAACCUUAAUGCCAUUAAUUUGGUGUUUUGGGGAAUUUGGACUGUUACUUUGAAAAAAUUAGGGUGUUUAAAGCAAGCUAACGCUUGAAUACAUUAGCAUGGAAUAAUGAAAUAGGACGUUCGAUCCUAUUUUGUUGGUUUCUAGGAUUGACGUAAUGAUUAAUAGGGAUAGUUGGGGGCAUUAGUAUUCAAUUGUCAGAGGUGAAAUUCUUGGAUUUAUUGAAGACUAACUACUGCGAAAGCAUUUGCCAAGGAUGUUUUCAUUAAUCAAGAACGAAAGUUAGGGGAUCGAAGACGAUCAGAUACCGUCGUAGUCUUAACCAUAAACUAUGCCGACUAGGGAUCGGAUGAUGUUAAUUUUUUAAUGACUCAUUCGGCGCCUUACGGGAAAA
rnacentral:rRNA from 1 species